UCUCCUACCCUAAACCUUUCUCUCACUCACGCUCACUGAUUGACCUUUCUCUUCCUCUUCUCUAACCCUCUUCACCGACCUCAUAGCUAGCGCACACUAAUCGCCACUUCGGUUGCCCCUGGUGAGUGGAAAAAGAGGGAAGCAACGAUGUAAUGAAACAAAACGAUGAGAGAGUGAAGAUUGGAAGGCGGUGUGUUUAGGGUUACAAAGGAGGCCAUGGUAGAAGAACGAUGAUGGCAGUGGAGGAGAGACUCUCCCCUUGUUUUCACAAACAGUCAACUCUCUCUCUCUCUCUCUCUCUCCAUCCUUCCCCAGGUGGAUCCCCAAGAUAUUGUUAUGGUAUGUGGAUAUAUUUAGAUACUUUGAACCUGCUACAAAUCAUAAAACACAAAAUGAUUUAUAUAAUUACACUGUGCUGAAAAUUUUGUCAUGUAGGAUUAAAUUUUUUAUCCUUUGAUCUGUGAUAAACUCUAAAAUUUCAAAGAAUUUGCAAAAUUCCUUGGAAGAGUGUGGUAGAAGUAGUUUUUUAUUUUUUAUUUUUUUGAAGAUCUUAAUUUGUUGCAGGAACGAAUUGUUUUUUGUGGUUUAAGAAAUGGAGCAAUUGGUUUUCUACAUGUUCAUGUCUUGGAAUAAUUAUCAAUUUUUAAAUGGAGAUGACAACUCUCUUCUUGCUAUUAAUUUGUUUUCUGCAUGUUCAUGUCUGAUGAUGAGUUAACUGCUGAAAUCUUUUAACACGUGACGUGAGUUUUCCUAUAUUCAAGGGCACGGAUAAAAUGUUUGCAUAACCCUGUUCCUUCUCCUGAUCAUUUUGCCCUGUAGUCAUAGUUCAUAUUCAGCUAUCUUAAGAUAUUUGGUCCAUUUUUUCCAUGAGAAUUGAUUAUUCAAUCAAAGUGGUAAUUCUUUUUCUAUUGAAGUAGGAGAUGAAGAGUCAGUGUGAUGAGAAAAAGUCCGACUGUAUCUUUUGUAAGACUAGAAUAGUCUCUAUAAAUAGUUAGUUUAUUCAUAUGUUCCUGCAGUUUCUGAAUUAA